rnacentral:RNase_P_RNA from 1 species
ACUGCGCGUAGCGAGGAAAGUCCGUGCUCCACAGAGCGAGAAUGCCGGAUAACGUCCGGUGGGGGCGACCCCAAGGCUAGUGCAACAGAGAGAUACCGCCUGCAAAGGUAAGGGUGGAAAGGCGAGGUAAGAGCUCACCAGCGCACAGGCGACUGUGCGGCUAUGUAAACCCCAUUCGGAGCAAGACCAAAGAGGGAAAAAGGCGGCUGCUCGUCGUCUCCGGUAGGUAGGUCGCUAGAGCUUUCCGGCGACGGAAAGACCAGACAGAUAGUUAACCGAUACAAAACACGGCUUAUAGACGUAGUC